GACGAAGGGGGCUAGCGUUGUUCGGAAUUACUGGGCGUAAAGCGCGUGUAGGCGGUUAUCCAAGUCGGGGGUGAAAGCCUUGAGCUCAACUCAAGAAAUGCACUCGGUACUGGGUGACUAGAGGACCGGAGAGGAUAGUGGAAUUCCCAGUGUAGUGGUGAAAUACGUAGAGAUUGGGAAGAACACCAGUGGCGAAGGCGGCUAUCUGGACGGUUUCUGACACUAAGACUCGAAAGCGUGGGGAGCAAACAGG
rnacentral:rRNA from 1 species